AGGAGAGGCCCACCCCACAUUGCUAGGGCUGGCUUCCAGCACAGGUCCCACCCGGGCAGGUUCACACCCACUCAUCAUUUGAGAAGAGCUGCUUUGGGUUCGAAAGGGUUAAAUACUAGGGGCUGAUCAGAAUGGGCAGUGCUGGCCUUCCUGAAGCUUACAGUCACCAGGUGACACAAACUUUCACUGGCUCUUGGGCUUACACAUCUGGGACAUUCUGUCUUCCCUCUGUCACACUGUCAUGGCGGCUCCUACCCAACUGCUAGGACCAGGUACGUGUAGUUUCCUCCGCAUAGAGUCCCCUGGUUUCCCAAAUCUGAGUUCCAAGUGUUCCCAGAAGGCAGCACCUACUCUAAAGCCCACUCCAAAGGAGAAACUAUUAAUCACAGUGUCCUUUGUACCUGCUGUGGCCUGCUUCCUGCAGGGAGAAGACAGGGUCUGGAUAUUACCCCCGAACAUCACGGACAGGCAGAUGUAGCAAGAAUGGGGCUAAGUCCAUCUCCCCAGCUGCAGAAGCCACAGCCCCCAUCUCAGCCCAGUCUUACGGAGUCCUGCAAAGGCUGCUCUCCAGGAAAAGAACGAGAGGCUGUUCCAGCCCUGGCUUCCCCACACACCAGAUGCUGGAGAUCUGGAUCCUGCCUUUUCUGCGUACAAGGCAAGCACUUUACUGACUGAGCCAUCUCUCAAGUCUUCCCAAUUUCAAAUCCAGCCUUAUAAUUAGCAUUGGAAAUGCACUCCUAGGGCACUUGGAUGCUCCUUCUCCACCCAGUGCUGUUUUGUUGAAGACUCUGGAACCUUAAGGAGGAGGCAGAUACCAAUUCUAGUUUCUUGCCUUAUGUUCCCUGGCCUGCUGCAAUUUGAACAGCGUCCUCCACACAGUCUCACUGGCAUGAAUGGAACUGUCCUGCGCUGCCUUUCCCUCAGUGACAGAUUGGAGCCUUCUGAAAGGCUGGAUAAAUCCUGGUUCACCAAGUUUCUGUCACAGGAUAUAAAAUUAGUGAAUAUGCUUACAGUCAACAAUCUCAUAAAGCCAAAGAGACAAUUAUCUUCUACUUUUAAUCUUAUCUAAAUUUGGAUAAAGAGAGGGGCUGGGGUGGAAUGCAAUGGUGACCUCUUACCCAGCAUCUUGAAGUGCUGAGUUUGACCUCAAGCACAGGAAAUAAAAUACACUGAAAUGUUAGAAACGAUUUUUUUAAUUGAGAAUCUCCUGACUGAAAUAAGGUGUCUUCUAAAACAUUUCUGUUUCUGGUAUCCUUUGAGUUUACUGGCCAGUUCAUCAAACAUUUACCCAGCAUGCCCUGUAGCUGGCAGUAUCGCACUCCAAAAAUGAAUGACUCACGGAUCUCAGUCCCAAGGGAUUCACACAGUGAUGGAGAUUCAAUGGCCCAAAUGAAGAAAGGCCUCUAGGCACAUGGUCCCUUUUGUGUGGAGUCCAAGGUUAAAGGAAAACACUUGUCUCACUCACUGCCAUUAACUUAGCAGCCGAUAUGUGGUAGGCACUUAAUGACUGUUUGUCAAGUGAAUUAUGAACCAGGAAGUCUGAAGCCUGAGAAACGUAAGUUAGAAGGAAGAAUCUCUUGAGAUAAAAAGCUGGUAGAAAGAUUCAACAGCUCUCUGAAAUCCUGAUCUGACUGACCACCUAACUCUCUGGUUUGAUGUGGACCUCUAUGCAUCCAGUAACUGUUAGGGAAAGGCGCCAUGGUCCAGGCCCCACCCCAGUCAGAUGUCCUGGGAGGUGGGUCGCAUGAGUUACUUGCCUUGUUGCUGAGAAAAAACACCUGACAAAGCUACUUAAGAAGAGAUCUCUUCUGGCUUACGGUUCAAGGGUAUCGUUCUGCCAUUGUCGGAACAUGGUCCAAGAAUGGAGUUGUGUGAGGGGAUUUCUGAAUGCUCGGAGAAAACUCCAAGAAGCCAAGAGUUUUGUGACCUCAGUUUCUUAACAGAAUUGUUCUUGGAAUCUGUUUUUCUGUCCCUCUCAGGUGUAGUGGUUAGGAGUGAGUUUACUUCAGAUUACUUGUUACAACUGGUGAUUGUUCUUGGUUUCUAUGCCUCUACUGAGACACAUGUCUCUGUCACACGUAGCCUGUCACUUGAAGCUUGCCCUUGUGAUUGCAAAAACCAUCUGAUGCUCUGAAUAAAGUUGGCCAUUGCGUGAAA
rnacentral:sRNA from 1 species